UACGGAGGGGGCUAGCGUUGUUCGGAAUUACUGGGCGUAAAGCGCGCGUAGGCGGACCUGCAAGUCGGGGGUGAAAGCCUGAGGCUCAACCUCGGAACUGCCUUCGAUACUGCGGGUCUCGAGUCCGGGAGAGGUGAGUGGAAUUCCUAGUGUAGAGGUGAAAUUCGUAGAUAUUAGGAAGAACACCAGUGGCGAAGGCGGCUCACUGGCCCGGUACUGACGCUGAGGCGCGAAAGCGUGGGGAGCAAACAGG
rnacentral:rRNA from 1 species